AUGACUAUCUAUGGAAAUGAGAGGAGAAAGGUGCUGAAAAAUCACCAAAAUGAUGAAAAACAUAUCGGAAUGUGGCAGAGGGAGCUCUAUGGUGAUCGGCGGUGGAUAUUUGUUGCUAGAGUGGUGUGUGAAGAGGAAUGCAAUUGCAGGAAAAUGACCAGCAUGCUCACCAGAAGAUUUCACGACAGUGGGUCGCAAUGGAUGAGGAGUCAUGUGGUGGAUGCACAGUUGAGAAGUGUCGCAAUGGAUGAGGAGCCAUCUGGUGGAUGCACAGUUGAGAAGUGUAUAAAACAGUGGCCGGAACAAGGAUACAUUCAAGAAGAAAACUGUAAAGUAGUCCUAAGAUGA